AUCCCUCUGUAACAUCUAAUAAAUCCCUCGCUAAUUUAAAAUAAGUUAAACUCUGAUGAACACACCAUGAUGAAACUUCAUUCAACACAAAUCACCGUUCAUCUUCUCCUAUCCUUCCUUUAAGCUUGCUCUUCUCCUCUCUCUUUGAUUCGAGUUGAAAAUAGGGCAAGUGUGACUUCUCCGUCGUUUCUGCUUUGUCGCCACACGCGUCGCACGAGCUCCUUCUGUCACUGCUCGCUUGCACGAGCUCCCUCCGCCGCCGCUCGCUCGCAUGAGCUCCCUCCUCUGCUGCUCGCGUUGCACGAGCUCCCUCUGCCGCCUCUCAGCUUAUGUCUCUCUCUGUCUCGCGCCAUCCAUCCUCACCGUUCACAGCCUCUUUGAGUCAUCGUGUCACCAGAUCUGAAACCUACAUUUUAGAUUUUUGUUCUUGAAUCUUCUUCAAGGUUCGAAUUUGGUUUUGGAAGUAGCUCCAUUAAUUGUUAUGGCUAAAAGUUUUGCGUUGAAGAUAAUGUAUUGUGCCUUCUGGAGUUUUGCUUCUGAGCUUGCUCUAGGUGCUGUAAAUUCAGAGGUUCUUCUUGGAAGGUGUUUGAUUUAAUGACUGAACUGAUUUCAUUAUCCUUAACCCUAGCCUUGUCCCUUCCCUGUUGCUGCUGCAGAGAACUGAGUUUCUAAAUUCUAAGGUCAUAAACACACUAAAGAGGGAUCAAACAAACCACCAUGGCUUAACCUCACCCAUUCACAGGUGUGAGGGAGUGGAAUACAAAAACCAGCUUCUUACUGUUCUCAACAUGAACAACGAGAAGGUGCACUUUUUGCCUUUGCCCCGAAAUUUAAAUUCUCUUGUUUUGCUGUUGCCCGUGAGAUGAACUGAAUGAAAAUCUUGGUGCAGGUUUAGCAUUUUCUACCACGAAAGAGAAAUUAGCUGAAGCCUUUUUAGAAUAUGGCAAUGUCCUAAAUGAUGGCAAGGCUGCUGCAGCAGAGAAGAAAAAUUCCAAGGAUGAAACAUCUUCGAAAGAUUCACAGGGGCUGCUGCAUGCCCCAUUUUCCACUUCUUUCUAAUUGUGGCACUUGAAAGUGCUUGGAAUUGGAACUAGCUGUGUGAGAUCUUGUAUUUCGCUGACAAGUUAGAGCCUAUGAUGCCACCUUAUGCAGCACUUUAUUCACCUAGAGGGGUUUAUACUCAUCCUGCCAUUCCUAUUGGGCCAUAUCCACACGGACAAGGAGUUCCAUCUUCACCUGCUACUGGGACACCUCUAAGUAUGGAGAUGCCACCAAAAUCUGCAAAUUCUAAUCGGGGUUUGAUGAAGAAACUGAAAGGGUUUGAGGGGCUUGCGAUGUCAAUUGGGAAUGGCCAUACUGAUAGUACAAAUCUUAGAACUGAAAACAAGCUGUCACAGAGAGCACAGCAGCGACGAUUGGAGUUUUGAAGUAUAUCCAGAGAAGAAGAAGACAAAUGAAAGGUUAAUCUCAUCACUGAAGGCCAUCUCCGAUGAAUAUCAUAUGUCAAAGUUCUCCACACAACCUCACGUGCAGACAAAUACCCGCAAUUAAAAAAUUGUUUGACCUCAUAAUAACUUGAGCAUCCUCUCUACGGAAAGUUUCUUUUGAAACCUCAAGUGCCACCUUGUCUGAACCUUUAUUCAUAUACUUGAACAAAUAUUUAAUAGUAUUUGACUUGUUGUAGUACUAAUCCCUAACAUGCGCUUGAUAAGACAUUAGUAGAUAUGCAUUGUAAGAAAUUACAUUCCUAUUAUCCAUAUGGAAUCUCUUCCUUUCAGUGACUA